GGAAGAGGAAAUGAGAGGAUUAUGAAGAAGAGGGAUCUUGAGGAGAGAGAAUCACUGCUGUGAGGUCACCUGAGCUCAUGAGAACACCCCCUCUUCCCAGAAUGUUGUCUACAUGGGCCUGUUCUUUGGGAGCAUAAGAAUCUAUGUCCCAGCAAACAUGGAGAUUUGCAAAUAAACAAAAUUGUGCAUCUUCCUGAUGUGACAGAAGAUGAUAAAAUAGCCCUGAGAAGAGGCUGAUAGAAGCGACCAUCUUGUACUGUAUCCACCUACAGUGACCGCAGCAGUUUCUGACUUUGAUCUAACUAUUGUGCAACUGCAACGACCUGGGGCUCCAAAUCAGAAAAAAAUCUUCUUUUCCUUCUUUUUCGAGAAAUAG